AGCUGGAAUUACAAGCUCACACCACCACGUCCAGCUAAUCUUUUUUGUAUUUUUUGUAGAGACAGGGUUUCACCAUAUUGGCCAGGCUGGUAUCAAACUCCUGACCUCAAGUGAUCCACCCACCGUGGCCUCUGAAAGUGUUGGGAUUACAGGUGUGAGCCACCGUGCCUAGCCAAUUCACUGGUUUCUCUGUUUCUCUGUCGCCCCUGCUUUAAGAUGUUUAGCAUGUGGCCUCGCUCCCUGGUGACAGCACAGUCCCAAAGCCCAGUAAUAUAUUUUAAAGAAGUCUAUUAAAGGUACGAGCUUAGCUGGACUGACCCAUUAUCUGAAAUCUGUGUGUGGCCUUCCCAACUUACAUUGCCAAUACUUGUGCCUGUUUCAACUUGAGAUUCCUGUUCGGUGUACUCUCCCUUUAAGUUACCCUACUGCUGGUAUCCUAACCUCCCAGAAAGAGAGCUAGAGUUUUAUUUUGUUAAAGUAAAAUCAGUAUUCCCCAGUGCUCUGUAUUUUACAAAAUGCAUUCACACAUGACUGCCUUGAUCCUCAGAAUGAUUCUGGGAGUUACUGUGUUUAUCUCCAUUUUGCAGAUGAGCCCCAGAGAGGCGAAGCCACUUGAGCUCGUGAGUGACAGUCAGAUGUCAAGCCCUGCUCUUUCUAAAGCGUGCUGCCUUCAGAAAAGAAGAGCCAGAAGGAUGGAAAUUACUUCAGAAAGAUGAAUACCAGCUUUGAAGGAAUAAAAGCUGACGAGGAAUUGAAGGAGUUGAGGCACGAGCUUGAACAGGGUUGCAUGUUUGGCCCUUGAUUGUAAAUGCCCAUUGCUGCACCUGUUCCUGUUACUUGGGGAGUUGCAGCAGAAGGAACAGCGGCCUGGGACUCCAGAGAACUGGGUUCCCUCUCAUCCCUCCAGGGCCACCACUUCUUGUGGGCCCUUGGGCAAGUCACUGUACUUUCUGAGUCUCAGUUUCCCCAUUUGCAGAAUGGAAAUAACUACCCCGGUCUACCAACUUAGAAGAAUUGCUUUGAGGAUCUGAUAAGGUGGUGUGGAUGAUGCUGCCUUGGGGGCUUUACAGUCUGGAGCUCAAGGGACCCCUUAAGUUGGGCUUACUUAGUAACUCCAGGGGUGGGCAGAACAGGACUCCAAUGAGGGUUUUUUUCUUUUUCCCUUUUUUUUCUUUUCCUAUCUCUUAACUUUUAUCUUUAUUAUUUUACAAUGCCCUUGUAAGAUGAAACAAGUGAUGCUGAAAUAUCUUUUUCUUUUUUAACCUUUAUUUUAGAAUUGGGGUACAUGUGCAGGUUUGUUACAUAGGUACAGUGUGGGCUGCUGAGGUUUGGGAGUACGAAUGAAUUAGUCACCCCAGUGGUGAGCAUAGUGCCCGAUAAGUGGUUUUUUCAACCCUUACUCCCAUCCCUCUCCAUUCUUGUGUUCCCCAGUGUCUGCUGUUCCCAUUUUUAUGACCAUGUGUACUCAAUGUUUAGCUCCCACUUAGAAGUAAGAACAUGCCCAGCACUUUGGGAGGCCGAGGUGGGUGGAUCAUGAGGUCAAGAGAUCGAGACCAUCUUGGCUAACAAAGUGAAACCCUGUCUCUACUAAAAACAUAAAAAAUUGGCCGGGUGUGGUGGUGGGCACCUGUAGUCCUAGCUACUCGGGAGGCUGAGACAGGAGAAUCGCCUGAACCGGGGAGGUGGAGGUUGCAGUGAGCUGAGAUUGUACCACUGCACUCCAGCCUGGGUGACAGAGUGAGACUCCAUCUCAAAAAAAUAAAAAUAAAAAAAUAAAAAGAAUGUGGUGUAUGAUUUUGUUUUCUGUUUCUAUGUUAAUCCACUUAGGAUAAUGGCCUCCAGCUACAUCCACGUUGUUACAAAAGACACGAUUUCAUUCUCUUAUAUGGCUGCCUAAUAUUCCACGGUGUAUAUGUACCAUAUUUUCUUUAUCACAUCCACUGUUGAUCCACACCUGGGUUGAUUCCAUGUCUGUGCUAUUGUGAAUAGCACUGCAGUGAACAUGUGGGUGCGUGUGUCUUUGUGGUAGAACGAUUUCUU
rnacentral:lncRNA from 1 species